GAGUUUGAUCCUGGCUCAGAACGAACGCUGGCGGCGUGCCUAACACAUGCAAGUCGAACGUGAUCCAGAGCUUGCUCUGGUGAAAGUGGCGCACGGGUGAGUAACGCGUGGAUAACCUACCCUGGUAUCCGGGAUAACAUUCCGAAGGGGGUGCUAAUACCGGAUAAGCCCACGGGCUCUUUGGAGCUUGCGGGAAAAGGUGGCCUCUAUUUAUAAGCUACUGUAUCAGGAUGGGUCCGCGUACCAUUAGCUAGUUGGCGGUGUAACGGACCACCAAGGCGACGAUGGUUAGCUGGUCUGAGAGGAUGAUCAGCCACACUGGAACUGAGACACGGUCCAGACUCCUACGGGAGGCAGCAGUGGGGAAUUUUGCGCAAUGGGGGAAACCCUGACGCAGCAACGCCGCGUGAGUGAUGAAGGCCUUUGGGUCGUAAAGCUCUGUCAGAGGGGAAGAAAUGAUAUAGUGCUAAUACCACUUUAUCUUGACGGUACCCUCAAAGGAAGCACCGGCUAACUCCGUGCCAGCAGCCGCGGUAAUAC
rnacentral:rRNA from 1 species